UACAGAGGUCUCAAGCGUUGUUCGGAUUCAUUGGGCGUAAAGGGUGCGUAGGCGGCGAGGUAAGUCAGAUGUGAAAUCCCGGGGCUUAACCCCGGAACUGCAUUUGAUACUGCUUUGCUUGAGGACUGGAGAGGAGAUCGGAAUUCCCGGUGUAGCGGUGAAAUGCGCAGAUAUCGGGAAGAACACCCGUGGCGAAGGCGGCUCUCUGGGACGGUACUGACGCUGAGACGCGAAAGCGUGGGGAGCGAACAGG
rnacentral:rRNA from 1 species